GUGUCAGCAGCCGCGGUAAUACCAGCACCCCGAGUGGUCGGGACGUUUAUUGGGCCUAAAGCAUCCGUAGCCGGUUCUACAAGUCUUCCGUUAAAUCCACCUGCUUAACAGAUGGGCUGCGGAAGAUACUAUAGAGCUAGGAGGCGGGAGAGGCAAGCGGUACUCGAUGGGUAGGGGUAAAAUCCGUUGAUCCAUUGAAGACCACCAGUGGCGAAGGCGGCUUGCCAGAACGCGCUCGACGGUGAGGGAUGAAAGCUGGGGGAGCAAACCGGAUUAGAUACCCGGGUAGUCCCAGCUGUAAACGAUGCAGACUCGGUGAUGAGUUGGCUUUUUGCUAACUCAGUGCCGCAGGGAAGCCGUUAAGUUUGCCGCCUGGGGAGUACGGUCGCAAGACUGAAACUUAAAUGAAUUGACGGGG
rnacentral:rRNA from 1 species